UGAGGAAUAUUGGUCAAUGGACGGAAGUCUGAACCAGCCAUGCCGCGUGAAGGAUGAAGGCGUUCUGCGUUGUAAACUUCUUUUAUCUGGGAAGAAACCACAGAUUUCUAUUUGUGUUGACGGUACCAGAAGAAUAAGCACCGGCUAACUACGUGCCAGCAGCCGCGGUAAUACGGAGGGUGCGAGCGUUAUCCGGAUUUACUGGGUUUAAAGGGUGCGUAGGCGGGCUAUUAAGUCAGAGGUGAAAUCUCCGGGCUCAACCUGGAAACUGCCUUUGAUACUAUUAGCCUUGAAUUAUGUUGAGGUAGGCGGAAUAUAACAUGUAGCGGUGAAAUGCUUAGAUAUGUUAUGGAACACCGAUUGCGAAGGCAGCUGGCUAAACAUAUAUUGACGCUGAUGCACGAAAGCGUGGGUAGCGAACA
rnacentral:rRNA from 1 species